CAGGCCUAACACAUGCAAGUCGAGCGGCAGCGGAAGUAGCUUGCUACUUUGCCGGCGAGCGGCGGACGGGUGAGUAAUGUCUGGGAAACUGCCUGAUGGAGGGGAUAACUACUGGAAACGGUAGCUAAUACCGCAUAACCUCGAAAGAGCAAAGUGGGGGAUCUUCGGACCUCACGCCAUCGGAUGUGCCCAGAUGGGAUUAGCUAGUAGGUGAGGUAAUGGCUCACCUAGGCGACGAUCCCUAGCUGGUCUGAGAGGAUGACCAGCCACACUGGAACUGAGACACGGUCCAGACUCCUACGGGAGGCAGCAGUGGGGAAUAUUGCACAAUGGGCGCAAGCCUGAUGCAGCCAUGCCGCGUGUGUGAAGAAGGCCUUAGGGUUGUAAAGCACUUUCAGCGAGGAGGAAGGCAUCAUACUUAAUACGUGUGGUGAUUGACGUUACUCGCAGAAGAAGCACCGGCUAACUCCGUG
rnacentral:rRNA from 1 species